UUUUAUCUUCAACCUUACAACUCCCAGUAAAAGCCCUAAUAUCGUUCACACCAUCCUCCCUAUCUCUCAUCCUGCCCAUCGCCGUCGCCUUUCUGCCUCUCGCCGUCGCUGCUCCCUAUGGCCUAUCGUCAUCGCUUUUCAGCCAUCUCUUCCCCUCGUCUCCUCGCCGUGACAGCUCCCCCCUUUGCCCGUCAUCGCAGCUUCAGCCCCCUCGACCCGUUGUUGUUGCAGCAGGCCCUCCGCAUAUCGCCACCGAAACUCCCUCCAUCGCCUUUAUCUUAAACAAUCAGCCAGUCUCCUCCCCCUCCUGUCGCCGCCCCUAUCAAGGUUCGUUGAUUUACUCUGUAUUAUUUGUUUUUUUCUUGAGCUUGGCUUAUUUCGGGUGUUGAACUUUCAAUUGCAAUAUUAUUCACAGAUUUGAAGUUUUACUAUUCACAGAUUGGAAAUUUUGGGUGUUGAACUUUCAAUUGCUAUAUUAAGAUGGAAGUUAAUUGCUAAUGUAGCAUUAAUGGGCUAAUUUUCUUUGAUUAAUUUUGUGUGUGUAGUGGUGGGAUUUUGUGCAUGUGUGAUUUCUUUUCCAAAUAUAAAAAUGUCAAAGAAGAUUCUAUCAUGAAUUAUGUUAAUCGAUUGGGCAAAAUGCCAUAACACUCUCUACACACAAUUACCAAGGCCAUCGUUUAUCACCACUUAAUUUUAUGGAAAUCGAAAUGAUGCCAUUAUCCCGUAUUUUCCCUCUAGCAUUUAGUCCUCCCAUAAAUACGUAUGUUCAUAUGAUAAAAGCAAGAAAGGUUAUUAUUUGAGAAAUAAUUAUUUUUGGGGGUGCAUUUUUUUUAUAUGAUUUUACUGAUGAAGUUGUUGAGCUUUUAUGUAUGUUCUCGGUAGUGUGUUGUUUCUCCUCUUUUUUAUCUAUAUAUUCUUGUUUCUCCUCUUUUUGAUCUGAAUUUUAUCAUUCUAAUGAUCAUAGCAAAAAAAAUUCUAACCUAGUUACUUCUUUUAUCUGUUUGUUUCUAAAUUCUCUUGACGAGUAGCUAAUGAGAACUUGGGCAAUUUAGGAACGAAUUCACACAGUAGAAUACCAGUCAUUUAAUAUCUGAGAAAUUAAAUUGAGUUGUAAAAGAUUCUAGACUUAUGCACUCUGACUCUUUGAAUGUAUUCCGGUUUUAGAAUUUUUGGCCAUGUACAAUUUAAAUCUUCAAUUUAUUAUGGUUUAAUAAUUUUCUUAAAUCUUAAGGACUUUUGAUAUUAGUUUUUCGUUUAUUAAAGAAAAGUAUAUUACUUUUUUGAAUUUAAUUUUUCAGGUCAUCCUCAUAUAAUCCACAGAGAUAUUAAAUCAUCAUACAUACUUCUAGACAACAACUUUAGAGCUAAGGUAUGAUGAUUUUCUGG
rnacentral:lncRNA from 1 species